CCCCAAUAUCAGCGCAUCCCGUUUCGCGGGGCGGGUGUUGGGGUUAGAGCCACCGAGUAGUGGCCGCAGGCUUGAGGAGAGCCGCCGAGUGGUGGUUCGGGAGGGAAAAUCUGCCAAGCUCAAAGGUCAGGCAAGCGAGAGGUUUACCGGGUCGGAAAGUCGGGCGAGUAAAAAGAUAUACCAAGUCCAAAAUACUGCCGGCAACAUACCCGGGACCCCGAGUAAGUCGGGGAAGAAGUUGGCGGAUGUUUUCCCAGCCAACUCAACUUUGACCAAUUUACCUGCCCGAGCUCACGGGUAGGCUGCGGUUAAUUUUUGGACUUGGCGGAUUUACUUGAAUCAAUCCACAGGAAGUUACCUGCCGAAUUACCUGGGCUCCCGGGUAGGCCAUAGUUGACUUGUGGACUUGGCGGAUUUUUUCCAACCUACUUCCCCGACUAUAACCUGGGAUUUUCCCGACCAUAGCUCACGGGUAGGUUAGUUGUGAUUUUUGGACUUGGUGAAAUUUCUACUUUCCUGCCAAGUCUAGCCUACCCGGGAGCCCAGGCAAGUCGGGCAGGUAAAUUCCGCCAACCCGGCAGGGAACUGAUUGCAAAUCAAUUCAACCAAAUCUGCCAAGUCCACAGAUAAACUAUAGCCUACCCGGUAGGCCUGUAGAUUUCCCGCGCGAUUUCCUGCGAAGACCAAAAAGUUAGGUGUUUUGGUACUUAAUUUAUAUAGAGAUGAGUUGAUUUUUUUGUUUUUAUAUAUAAAUAAAUUUUGCGGAAAAUAAAAAAUAAACCACGAGAGCCUAGUAGCGGAGGCGGGCCCUCGAGGUGGUCGGUAGGUAUAUAAGAGAGAGGGCUGGACACGCGUCGCGUCGCGUAUUUCCACCGCAGCCAAUACCUUUAGCUUUAGGGUAGGCUGCUUGUUUAGAGGCGCGCUGGAUUAGAUGGUCUCUCAAGUGAGGGGAUUUCUCUGCUGGCAGUUGCCUAUAAUCCGGGAGUCCGUGGUGGUAAAAUCAGCUAUAAAGCUUGUGUGUAUGUGUGUGCCGGGGCCCUGUAAGUCCCGACCAGGAACCUUACAGGUCACGUGCCGAUACGAUAAGACAGAUAAGAUAUACAGCACGUGCUAGUACACGUGCCAGUAUAAGUAACGAGACGAUAAGAUCGAUAAGAUACCUGCACGUGCCUAGUCACGGAGACUUACACGUGUCCCGCCGCCAAGGUCCCCAAGGUCCCCGAGGUUGCCGACCUCGCCGACUACUCCUGGUGUAAUAUGCCGGUACAGUUGCAUAUAAUUCCCUACUAGUCUCAAUAAUAGUACACUCGUUUAUCGCGAUGCACUUACUUGUGGUGCGGCUGUGCGGCUGUGCUGACGUACUUGUGGUAGUGCACUUACUCUACAAUAGUGCUGGUACUUGCGGUCACAUACAAUUUCCCAGUAUUUUGGCGUAGUUGUGGUCGUGGUGGUGCAGUUACAGCAGUGCACUUACCCUGUAGUACUGCUGGUACCGGCCACCGUCGCGUGCGCGCGGCUGCCGUCGGCCGUGGUGGAGGGCUACCCGGGACCACGGUGCAAUUUUCCUUUUUUUCCAUUUUUUCAAAAUCGACGACCAAAAGGUUGGUAGGUCUGGGUUGCCUUGCUGGCCAAUAGAGAUUUGUACGGCGCUACUAUAGGGUAGGUACAGGGUAGGCUGUGCCGGUACUUGCGGUCGCACACAAAUCCCUAGCAGCCUGAAGUACCCCCGCGCGCGGGCAGCUUCAAACCGCUAUAGCUGCUCCCAGCGGCAUCGCAGACAACUAUGAGGGCCACCAUUCGAUUCGUCUCGCCGAGCUGCAUCGAUUGAGCCCGGGUUGCCAAAAAGUCGGGUGUUUUGGUAUUUGAUUUGUAUGGGCGUGAGUCGAUUUUUUUGUUUUCCCAUACAAAUGAAUUUUGCGGAAAAUAAAAAAUGGACCACGAGCGCCCGGUGGCGGAGGUGGACCCUCGAGGUGGUCGGUGGGUAUGUGAGAAGGGGGCGUCGAAAGAUGCCGGGACAGCUGGGUCUUCGCUGAAAGGCAGGAUUUCCGGUGAGUCACCGCCCUCUCUGUACCAUAUCUUGCCGAGCCCCAGUGCUUGAGUGGCCUCCUGAACACGCCUGUGGAAGGUUUCUUUUACAGGCUGGGAGGUCACACUGGGGAUUCAAACUCCACGAAGUCGGCGGCUACGGCCGUGCGGCGUACUGGUUAUACCUCGUGGCAGUGGGAGGCACCCGCCUCUUACCGCUCAGGAGAUGGGUUCUGUGGGCUGCUGGCCGCUGGCCAACAUGCCGUAAAUCAGAAUAACGGGAGGCAACCACGGGUAGCUGACGCCGAAAUGGCAGAGGCUGCACGGAGCGUCCUCCUCUUAGGGCACCUAUACCGCACUCUACGGUGCGUGUGGACGGCUGCGCCUAGGGAAUUGAGAGGGGGAAAGCGGAUUUGCCGCUGGGCGGUCUCUCCCGGUCAAACGGGCAGGGCACCUCCCGGCGCGCAGCACCCUUUCGAGUGGGGGAAAGGUGUGCCGACCAGUAACUUGGACUAUUCUCUCCGGCGCCCUUAACAGGGCGUCGGUAGGCCAACCCCGGCGAACGAUAGU
rnacentral:misc_RNA from 1 species